rnacentral:rRNA from 1 species
GACGAACGCUGGCGGCGUGCCUAAUACAUGCAAGUCGAGCGAAUCAUGAGGUGCUUGCACCUCUUGGUUAGCGGCGGACGGGUGAGUAACACGUGGGCAACCUGCCUGUAAGACUGGGAUAACUUCGGGAAACCGGAGCUAAUACCGGAUAAUCCUUUACUUCUCAUGAGGAAAAGUUGAAAGUCGGUUUACGCUGACACUUACAGAUGGGCCCGCGGCGCAUCAGCUAGUUGGUGAGGUAACGGCUCACCAAGGCGACGAUGCGUAGCCGACCUGAGAGGGUGAUCGGCCACACUGGGACUGAGACACGGCCCAGACUCCUACGGGAGGCAGCAGUAGGGAAUCUUCCGCAAUGGAUGAAAGUCUGACGGAGCAACGCCGCGUGAGCGAUGAAGGCCUUCGGGUCGUAAAGCUCUGUUGUUAGGGAAGAACAAGUACCGGAGUAACUGCCGGUACCUUGACGGUACCUAACCAGAAAGCCACGGCUAACUACGUGCCAGCAGCCGCCGUAAUAC